AUACGUAGGGGACGAGCGUUGUCCGGAAUUACUGGGCGUAAAGGGCGCGCAGGCGGAUAUUUAAGUCAGCUGUAAAAGGCAUGAGCUCAACUCAUGUAUGCGGUUGAAACUGGGUAUCUAGAGUGCUGGAGAGGUAGGCGGAAUUCCCGGUGUAGCGGGGAAAUGCGUAGAUAUCGGGAAGAACACCAGUGGCGAAGGCGGCUUACUGGCCAGCAACUGACGCUGAGGCGCGAAAGCCAGGGGAGCGAACGGGAUUAGAUACCCCGGUAGUCCUGGCCGUAAACGAUGAAUGCUAGGUGUGGGUGUCGAGAGGCAUCCGUGCCGGAGUUAACGCGAUAAGCAUUCCGCCUGGGGAGUACGAUCGCAAGAUUGAAACUUAAAGGAAUUGACGG
rnacentral:rRNA from 1 species